CGGGUGAGUAACGCGUGAGUAACCUGCCUUACACAAGGGGAUAGCCUUUGGAAACGAAGAAUAAUACCCUAUAAAACCAUAAAAGCACAUGCUAGAAUGGUCAAAGUGGUAGCGGUGUAAGAUGGACUUGCGUCUGAUUAGCUAGUUGGUGAGAUAAAAGCUCACCAAGGCAACGAUCAGUAGCCGGCUUGAGAGAGUGUACGGCCACAUUGGGACUGAGACACGGCCCAG
rnacentral:rRNA from 1 species